rnacentral:snoRNA from 1 species
UGCACGCUCCUUAGAUCCGCUAACUGUUUCAAAAGUAGCGCUUGAGUCAUAAGCGUGCUACAAUAUAGUACCUCCAUUGAUUGCAAGUUUUCGUCUAAAUUAUAAUUUUUAGACUUUGUAAUCAAUGGGGAACAC